rnacentral:rRNA from 1 species
AUGUCCCACGGCAAAUUCACUAACAUGCCCAUGGCAAGUUUCUUUUUUCAAGCUGAUGUCAAACUUUUCUUGCCAUGGCAACUUUCUUUUUUCAAGACGAUGUCAAACUUCACUAGAUGUCCCACGACAAAUUCACUAACAUGCCCAUGGCAAGUUUCUUUUUUCAAGCCGAUGUCAAACUUUUCUUGCCAUGGCACUUUUUUCAAGACGAUGUCAAACUUUUCUUACCAUGGCGGCAAAUUCACUAACAUGCCCAUGGCAAGUUUCUUUUUUCAUGCCGAUGUCAAACUUUUCUUGCCACGACAACUUUCGCUUUUCAAGACAAUGUCCAACUUUUCUUAG